CACUAACAGGGUUUUUUAUUAAAAACACUGCUUUUCAACGCUCUAUGUAUUUAAGUGACAUAGAGCGUUGAAAAGCAGUGAAAUUCAGUCAAUUUUUAUUAUACAGUGCCAUUGUAGCACUAAAAGGACAUCUUUCGAAAUCUUUAUACAACAAUUUUCUUUUGUUUUUUGUAAGGAUACACUGUUUAGCCUGUUCAGCUUUUUAUCAAAGUCAUGCUGAUUAUGCGGAAACUAUCUUACGCGCCUUUGCAAGUGAUGUAAAAAGAUUUGGAUCUGCUUAUAAUUACUCUGCAUUUCUGUUUGAAAAUUAUCAAGGGUAUUUAAAGCAUUUAAUACAUAAACCUUAUUUACCACUUCAACAGGUUAUCCGGUGUAUGUCUGAAAGAAAUGGAUCCAUUAUAAGAAACUCUGAUAAAUGUAUGAAGAAAGGCAUUCCCAGGAAGCUGCUUGAAAAUGGUCCUAUUGUUUUAAAAGCACAAACAGAGUGUCUACAGUAUUAAAAAAUUACUUUAAAUGGAAUUUUUUACUCUACUUCAAAAGGAAACAAUUGCAUAAAAAUAAAAAAUGACUUUUGUUUAAUUUGCAACAUAUUAAAAUUUCAUGGUGAUAAUAGGCAUUUUAUUGUUUAUAAAAAAUUUCUUACUAUUGAACAUUUCUUUAGAUAUCCUGCAAAUUCUUUCGAAUGUUUUGGUAUAGUAAAGAUCUCUUAGUUAUCAUGUCAGUAUCAAUAUGUCACAACAGAUGAAAUACAGAAAAAAUAUGUUAUACUACCAUGCAAGUCCAAAUUUGUUUGUAUUUCUCUGUCUAUGAAUCCUCAAAUACAUAAAUAAUAAACUGGAAUUUUUAUUUUUAUUUUUUUGCUAAAUUUUUGUAUUAGCGCUCAUUUGCAUAUCAGUAUUAGUAUUUGAUACUACUGAUUUUUAUGUUUAUCUUUUUAUUUCAGUUAGUAAUGUAAUAUUUAGUUGAAUUUGAGGAUAAAGUGGCAGUGGUUCCUGAUUGCUGGUUGUUAAAAGAAUCAGCUAAAUGUUAUUGGCCUCAGGGAAUUGGUGCUACACAAUGGUCAAAAAUGAAAAAGUUACCGAUUCCUAAUCACAGUGAUUGGCCUCUUUAUUCUUAUAUAAGAAUAUUGAAAAUUGGAGACUAUGAAAAAAAUGAAAUAGGCAGAGGCUAAAUCUUUGCACUACACAAAUAUUUCUUGAAGUUGUUCGGAAAAAAAACAUGAUUUAAAGAGGAAAAAUUUGCAAACACAAUGGAGUCCUGAAAAUUCACUUGAGAAAAAGGUAAAAAAAUGAAAAUUCGAAAAUCAGGAAAAAGAAAAAAUCAUGUAGACAGUCAUUUUCAACCACUUCCACAGAUCGAAUUGAUAAACCUUCACCUGCUAGUUCUAGCACAAACAUCACAUCUUCAAUUCUGUUGUUAAACAGUUGGAGGAAAUUAAUUAAGCGC